AACAGCUAUCCAAACACCUAGAGAUUCACUCUGAGAAGAGGUCCAGUUGCCUGAGGAUGGAGGUUGAGGAGAUAUUUGGCUACCACUUAUCAUGAGCUUUUACAUUUCAGUCCCAGAACAUAUCAGGGUGUCUCACUGCCUUUCAAGGUUUUGCUACCUAAAAUGGAUAUGGACAUUUAUUUCAGCCUACCAAAGUACUCUGCUUCAGUUUAGUUCUGAGAGCUGGAACAAGGCCAUGGUUUAAAUUCUAUCUUUGGAUCAAGCUAGAUCCCUGGAAGAUGACGUGUGUUACCACUGGCCAGUGUCUUUCAAAAAAAAGCCUCUCUUCUUCCAAGAAGACAGUGCCCUGUACCAGGAUACAUUAUUUGAUGGAACUUCGUGAGAACAGCACUCAUACCUACAUAGCUAUGCCUCCAAUACCAGACCCAGAUCUGACUACAUAAUACAUACUUAGGUAUUUGUAGAAUGGAUUAAACUGAUGUCCCUUGUAUGAUGUACUCUAUUAGAGAUCUGAGUUUUGAACCAGAAGAACUUGACCCUCCUUUUGAAUAUUAAGAAGUAUGUAAUUUGUUUCUUGUAUUUUCCUGCUUCCAAGAAUCUUAGACACAUAGGCUUAUGCUAUCAUAGCAACGAUGUUGACUUUUCUGGUUGGAAUAUUUACUCUGUUUCAUCUUUCAUAUUUUUUCUUGCUAUUUUAUCCUUAUUAUAAUCUGUUCUAAGCUAUUUCAAAUUCCUUUUCAGAAAGACACAUGGUGUAAAUAAAUAAAUAAAAGCCUCAUAGUGUAAGAGCUCACCCGUUCCUGAAAUAAA